rnacentral:lncRNA from 1 species
ACUUUCUAAAUCUCUGGGGAGAUAACUGACUGCAACUUGGAAGUCUAAAAAUGUUAAUUUUGUUCUCCAGUAUCAGGAUGGGAAAGGAAUUAGGAGACAGUUCCCUAGGACAAUCACCAUCAAUGUUGGCCUCAGCUUCCAAACUCUGACCAUUGAUAGCAGCUCCCUCGUGGCAAUUAUUGAGGCAAACUCAGCUGAGAAUGCAUGGACAUCUGUUUGGAACUACCAAACUGGCUACAUUGCAACCAAACUUGCAGGACAGGGAGUCUGCUACAUCUCUGCAAUGAACAGAGUCGUGAUGCCUGCUUUCAACUCAAUUGCUGUCCUUGCUGAAGAGACUAACAAUGUGAAAGGCGAAAGAGUGCUUUCAAGGACCAUCAGAUACGUUGUCUCUAGAAGACGUGCUCGUGAACUCGUGACUUACGGAAACGAUAUCUUCGCUCUCUGCAGAGGACUCCCAACCUACAUUGCUGUCGAAGAGUCACAGCAGGAGGGUGGUAAGUGUGAUCAUAUGAAUUUUAAGCUAAACAGGUGAUUUUGUUUAAGGAAGCUCAAGCUGUGGCUCAAAAUUUUGCAGACUGAACUCC